rnacentral:lncRNA from 1 species
UGUGGCUCUGUCCAUAGAGUGCUUGCUUGCCCAGCACGCAUGGCGUUCUGAGUUUGAUUCCUAGGACUGCCUAAAUGGGUGUGUAAGGCUGUUAUUGUUCACAAUCUCCUGCCAGUGAUCAGCUGUGGAGCUCAGACAUAAGCCCGUUAGAGCAUGCAACGUGGUCACGUGACACGGUUUGGACCAAUGAGAUGGGGAGAGCUGUUUAUUGUGGGUUCCUGGAUCUGGUUGACCUGAAGAACUCCUUUGCUUCCUCUGACGUGAUCUGACUUGACAUCGCCAAGACUUCAUCAGCUGCCCCCUCACCAACCCCACAACCCCAGCGUGGAACUGACCCCUAAGGGGCUGAGCUACGGUCACUCUCCAGCAGCAAGGGAGGAUGGGAAAACUGGGAGCUGACUGGAGGAAGCCGGCCCGCACAUAUGGCAUGGUUUGAAUGAACGACGUCUACUGUAGAGGGUCCUCCCUCAUCAGUCUGUUGAGAGCCAUCUUGAGGUCCCAGCUGGACAUUCAAGUCAAAGGUUCUGGAUGGUAGGGCUUGGGUUGCCACUGAGUGCACAGCAGGUCCCCUUCUGAGGACAGAGAAGACACUUGCCCCACAGUGACUUGACCUCUUAUACCUCGCUUUCAACGCAUCUACCCAACUCUACGGGGAGCAACCAGCACCUUCUAUCUUCUUGACAGGGCUGGAUGCAGUGUGAUGGGCAAUUGCCACAGAAGGGAUGGUUGGAAUGAGCCUCUUCUGUAGCAGCAACCAAGACAUCAGGAACCCCUGGCUGGGGGUUUGGAAGGCACCACUGGCAAAAAUCAAUCCAAAGCAAUUAAAACCCUACCACAUCUGAUUGCACCAGGAGCAAGAUUGAUCGGAGAGCACUGGAAAGGAAGCCGGC